rnacentral:rRNA from 1 species
AUUGAACGCUAGCGGGAUGCUUUACACAUGCAAGUCGAACGAGUGGCGGACGGGUGAGUCAUAGAUCGGAACGGGACCAGUAGCGGGGGAUAACUACUCGAAAGAGUGGCUAAUACAGCAGACUAUUGGUGCGGUCGAUAUCGGAUUAGCUAGUUGGUGGGGUAAAGGCUCACCAAGGCAACGAUCCGUAGCUGGUUUGAGAGGACGACCAGGCCAACUGGGACUGAGCAUCGGCCCAGAAUCCUACGUGAGGCAGCAGUGGGGAAUUUUUGACAAUGGGGGAAACCCUGAUCCAGCCAUCCCGCGUGUAUGAGAAGGCCUUCGGGUUGUAAAGUACUUUUGGCAGAGAAGCGGUAUCUGCAGAAUAAACACCGACUAACGACGUGCCAGCAGCCGCGGUAAUAC